rnacentral:rRNA from 1 species
UACAGAGGGUGCGAGCGUUGUCCGGAAUCACUGGGCGUAAAGGGCGCGUAGGUGGCGCUCCAAGUCUGUGGUGAAAGCUCGACGCUCAACGUCGAGUCGGCCAUAGAGACUGGAGGGCUCGAGCACUGUAGGGGCAGAUGGAAUUCCGGGUGUAGCGGUGGAAUGCGUAGAGAUCCGGAAGAACACCGGUGGCGAAGGCGGUUCUCUGGGCAUGUCCUGACGCUGAGGAGCGAAAGUGUGGGGAGCGAACAGG